rnacentral:rRNA from 1 species
CGCUGGCGGCGUGCCUAAUACAUGCAAGUCGAGCGGAAUGAUGAAGAAGCUUGCUUCUUCUGAUUUUAGCGGCGGACGGGUGAGUAACACGUGGGCAACCUACCUUGUAGAUUGGGAUAACUCCGGGAAACCGGGGCUAAUACCGAAUAAUCCAUUUUGCUUCAUGGCGAGAUGUUAAAAGGCGGCUUCGGCUGUCACUACGAGAUGGGCCCGCGGCGCAUUAGCUAGUUGGUGGGGUAAUGGCCUACCAAGGUAAUGAUGGGUAGCCGACCUGAGAGGGUGAUCGGCCACACUGGGACUGAGACACGGCCCAGACUCCUACGGGAGGCAGCAGUAGGGAAUCUUCCACAAUGGACGAAAGUCUGAUGGAGCAACGCCGCGUGAGUGAAGAAGGUUUUCGGAUCGUAAAACUCUGUUGCAAGGGAAGAACACGUACGAGAGUAACUGCUCGUACCUUGACGGUACCUUAUUAGAAAGCCACGGCUAACUACGUG